rnacentral:rRNA from 1 species
AUGCACAUCCUCCGCCUGCUCGCGGCGCGGCGCUUCCGCCGCCGCGCCGUGUCCACGAUCAGAGCGAGCGCGACGGCGCCGGCCACCCCGUGCCCGUGCGGCUACGGCGAGGACGAGGGCCCGUUCUUCGACCUCGACCUGUCGUGCUGCUCCGCCUCCGCCUCCGCGCCCGCGUCCAGCGCCGAGUCGAGCUCCGAGUCCGAGGACUCCUCCUGCGCCGGCGAGGUCGACUUCGUCAUCCUGCUGCAGCGGAGCUGCUCCGCGUCGCCGUCCUACGACGAGCGCCUCUCCUUCAGCCGCUGCGGGUGGGGGGGAGCGCCCCCGCCGGCCAAAUUCUGCGCGUCCGAGCCCAGCGGCGACGCCGCACGGUUCAGCACCAGCAGGCGCGGGAAGCUGCGCACGCUCAGCUUCGGAUCCGCCAAGGCCGCCUUCUACGGCGGCCGCGCCAGCUUCUCCCGGAGCUCCAACAGCACGCGCUCGGCGAGGCUCUUCGCCGCGUACGCGCACGGCUCGCCGGACCAAGAGCAGGAGGAAGCCAAGAGGGCGCCCUCGGCCGACGUGAUCAGGCGGUGCCUGAGCAAGAUCUCGAGGCGGUUGCGGAGGGUGGCGCCUGGCGCUGCUGCUGCCGUGGACGUCCGGCUGCGGAAGAGCCGCUCGGUGUCCGCGGCGCAGUCGUCGUCGCCAGCUCGCCGGGACGACUCGCUCCUGGAGCAGCAGGACGGCAUCGCGGGCGCCAUCGCGCACUGCAAGGAGUCGAUCCACCGUGCGUCCAUGUCGGAGCGCGACUCGUCGCUGCUGCGGUCCCGGAGUGACCCAGGAACAUAA